rnacentral:tRNA from 1 species
CCGGGCCUGGUCGAUGCGGUCGAGAUUCGGCCGAUUCAGCUGAAUCCAUCGGUUGGGGCGGGCGUUCGAUUCAGCCGGUCCGGU